CUGACACAGCGAAGCCACAUGCCUGUGCCGGCCAUGCUCCCAGCUGCUCCUCCUUCUCCAUGGUUGUCUUUGGCAUCCUCUGCUGCAGAAUUGUCAGUGUUCCCCUGGGCAGCUGCUACUUCCUGAGGGAGGUGCUCUUCUAGGGCACUGCAUCACAAACAGCCACUGUCACACCAGACCACUGUCACAAAGGGCCAUGACCCAGCACCACCUUUGAGGGCAGGGCAGAUCACUGUGAUGCUGGCUGAGUCUUGUGUGAACUGGCAGAGAGAACGGCCACUGCUUGGGCCAUGGCACAAGGGACAGCAAAAGCAGGAAGCCAGGUGGUUGCUUUCCCUGCCUGAGAGCCCAAGCUGGCUUGUAUCCCCCAGAGAGCCGGGGAAGAUCAAGCUCCAGAUCUUUGCCAUUGGGCACUGUUGGCAGGUCUGGGCAGGGCAGGGCAUCUGAGAUGGAAAACUUACAGUAGUCUUCCAUUGCAACUAAAUCAGCAACUACAGAGCUAAGAGGGAGCUUUUGGGAGUACCUUUCUGUCCAUCAGACAUUUUCUUCAUGCCAGAACUGUUAGCGGCUCUGCAGCUGAACCACAUCGCCACCUCAUGUGAAUUUCACUACACCAGUGCAUUUAAAAA